AAUGAACGCUGGCGGCAUGCCUAACACAUGCAAGUCGAACGAGACCUUCGGGUCUAGUGGCGCACGGGUGCGUAACGCGUGGGAACCUGCCCUUAGGUUUGGAAUAACUCCCCGAAAGGGGUGCUAAUACCGGUUAAUGUCUUCGGACCAAAGAUUUAUCGCCUUUGGAUGGGCCCGCGUUGGAUUAGCUAGUUGGUAGGGUAAAAGCCUACCAAGGCGACGAUCCAUAGCUGGUCUGAGAGGAUGAUCAGCCACACUGGGACUGAGACACGGCCCAGACUCCUACGGGAGGCAGCAGUGGGGAAUAUUGGACAAUGGGCGAAAGCAUGAUCCAGCAAUGCCGCGUGAGUGAUGAAGGCCUGAGGGUUGUAAAGCUCUUUUACCCGGGAUGAUAAUGACAGUACCGGGAGAAUAAGCACCGGCUAACUCCGUG
rnacentral:rRNA from 1 species